rnacentral:tRNA from 1 species
GCCGUUGUAGCUCAGGUGGUUAGAGCGCGUCCCUGAUAAGGACGAGGUCGCAGGUUCAAACCCUGCUGACGGCA